rnacentral:rRNA from 1 species
GAGUUUGAUCAUGGCUCAGAUUGAACGCUGGCGGCAGGCUUAACACAUGCAAGUCGAGCGGGGGAGGAGAGCUUGCUCUUCGAUUCAGCGGCGGACGGGUGAGUAAUGCCUAGGAAUCUGCCUGGUAGUGGGGGACAACGUUUCGAAAGGAACGCUAAUACCGCAUACGUCCUACGGGAGAAAGCAGGAGACCUUCGGGCCUUGCGCUAUCAGAUGAGCCUAGGUCGGAUUAGCUAGUUGGUGGGGUAAUGGCUCACCAAGGCGACGAUCCGUAACUGGUCUGAGAGGAUGAUCAGUCACACUGGAACUGAGACACGGUCCAGACUCCUACGGGAGGCAGCAGUGGGGAAUAUUGGACAAUGGGCGAAAGCCUGAUCCAGCCAUGCCGCGUGUGUGAAGAAGGUCUUCGGAUUGUAAAGCACUUUAAGUUGGGAGGAAGGGCAGUAAGUUAAUACCUUGCUGUUUUGACGUUACCGACAGAAUAAGCACCGGCUAACUCUGUGCCAGCAGCCGCGGUAAUACAAGGG